UUAGGCCGUAGUGGUGGGGUGUGGCGGCAACUGAUGCUGAUUUGAAAAUCGAUUAUGAAACCGAUAAUCAAUUCUCAGCACCGUUGCCGCCGAAGUUUUAUCACAGAUUGUGAUAAUUUUGUAGUGGGGUGUCGGAGAACCGCACUAAUUACGAUAAUAACAAUGGGGGGGGAAGAAGGGGUUAAAGAAAUGAUAUCGAAAAUUCAGAAAGUGCAGUGUUGCAACACGUAGUCAAUUGAGGAAUAGAUAAAGAGAAAAGGUAAACAAUGCAUGUGCUUUGCGUGGAAAAUAAGUGGAAAUACACUAAAUAAAUAGAGACAAGCACUUGCAGUAAUAACAAUACAGGUAAGUAGUAGACUGGAGUGGAGACGACGGAAAAACAGGUAAUAAAAGAGAUACUACACUGGAACAAAGACGAGACAAUACAGCUACAGGGAAGACUAGAAGCAUCGGCCGGCAUAGCAAAACACAAUGCUUGUAAAGACAUUGCGUUGCAUACCGGCCGACCCCGUCGUCCCCCCUGGUCGUCGAGAUUGGCGUCAUCCAGAGUCGUCAGAGGUAGCUGCAAUUAGCACCUCGUCGUCGUUGUGGCUUUGGCUGCCCUCUUGGAGAACCAGUGGCACUGGUCCGGCCACCAGUUGGGAGCCAGGAGUAGACGGCACACAUAGUACUGUGGCGACACGGGUCCGGCCGCCAAAGUGAAGUGGAUGUGAGUGUGUGUGUGCGUCGGCAAUUGUGGCCCUAAUGUAGAGCAAGUGGCACUGUUCCGGCCACCAGCUGUGGGCAAUGGCAGACAACGACACACAUCUACUCGAACGGCACAGGUCCGGCCGCCCAAGUGUAAUGGGUGCUUGUGUGUGUGUGUGUCUGAGUGGCUGGCGGACCAUAGGGCACUCUGAAUGCCAUGGCACUGGAUCCGGCCACCAACUAAGGACGAUGGCGUUGGCAUAACUCGAACGGCACAGGUCCGGCCGCCCAAGUGUAAUGGAUGUGUGUGUGUGUGUGUAUAUUUCCUUUUCCAGGUCCAUAGGGCACUCUGAAUGCCAUGGCACUGGAUCCGGCCACCAACUAAGGACGAUGGCGAUGGCAUUUCUCGAGCGGCGCAGGUCCGGCCGCCCAAGUGCAAUGGAUGUUUGUGUGUGUGUGAGUCUGAAUGGCUGGCGUUAAGACCAUAGGGCACUCUGAAUGCCAUGGCACUGGAUCUGGCCACCAGCUCAGGGCAAAAGCAGACACCUCACACAAGAUUCGAGCGGCUCGAAGCCAGCCCCCGAUUUGGAUUGGAUGUAGUUGCGUGUGUAUCUGCAUUUGGGUUUGUAAGCAAGCAUCAGCGCUCUGCAUACUGGCGGCUCUGAUCCGGCCGUCAGUUUUUGUUGUUGUGUGAGGCAGAUUUUCAUUGGUGUUUGGUCUAAUGGCUUGUUUUCU
rnacentral:sRNA from 15 species